rnacentral:rRNA from 1 species
AACGAACGCUGGCGGCAGGCUUAACACACGCAAGUCGAGCGCCCCGCAAGGGGAGCGGCAGACGGGUGAGUAACGCGUGGGAAUCUACCCAUCUCUACGGAAUAACGCAUGGAAACGUGUGCUAAUACCGUAUACGUCCUUCGGGAGAAAGAUUUAUCGGAGAUGGAUGAGCCCGCGUUGGAUUAGCUAGUUGGUGGGGUAAAGGCCUACCAAGGCGACGAUCCAUAGCUGGUCUGAGAGGAUGAUCAGCCACACUGGGACUGAGACACGGCCCAGACUCCUACGGGAGGCAGCAGUGGGGAAUAUUGGACAGUGGGCGCAAGCCUGAUCCAGCCAUGCCGCGUGAGUGAUGAAGGCCCUAGGGUUGUAAAGCUCUUUCACCGGUGAAGAUAAUGACGGUAACCGGAGAAGAAGCCCCGGCUAACUUCGUGCCAGCCGCCGCAGUAACAC